rnacentral:ncRNA from 2 species
CUGUCAAUCCUCUGAUAUUCUUGUGAUGUAUUAAUGAAUCCCAACAGGUUCUGA